rnacentral:rRNA from 1 species
UACAGAGGUAGCAAGCGUUGUCCGGAUUCACUGGGCAUAAAGGGCUUGUAGGUGGCCUAAUAAGUCAGUUGUGAAAUCGUUUUGCUCAACAAAACAAUUGCAACUGAUACUGUUAGGCUUGAGUGCAGGAGGGGAAAAUGGAAUUUCCGGUGUAGCGGUGAAAUGCGUAGAUAUCGGAAAGAACACCAGUGGCGAAGGCGGUUUUCUGGCCUGCAACUGACACUGAGGAGCGAAAGCCAGGGGAGCAAACGGG